rnacentral:tRNA from 1 species
GAUUUCUUAACUUAACGGUUAAAGUGCAAUCUUGAUAAGAUUGAAAUAUAGGUUCGAUUCCUUUAGAAAUCA